rnacentral:rRNA from 1 species
UGCAAGUCGAACGAUGAUCCCAGCUUGCUGGGGGAUUAGUGGCGAACGGGUGAGUAACACGUGAGUAACCUGCCCUUGACUCUGGGAUAAGCCUGGGAAACUGGGUCUAAUACCGGAUACGACCAUCUGGCGCAUGUCAUGGUGGUGGAAAGCUUUUGUGGUUUUGGAUGGACUCGCGGCCUAUCAGCUUGUUGGUGGGGUAAUGGCCUACCAAGGCGACGACGGGUAGCCGGCCUGAGAGGGUGACCGGCCACACUGGGACUGAGACACGGCCCAGACUCCUACGGGAGGCAGCAGUGGGGAAUAUUGCACAAUGGGCGCAAGCCUGAUGCAGCGACGCCGCGUGAGGGAUGACGGCCUUCGGGUUGUAAACCUCUUUCAGUAGGGAAGAAGCGAAAGUGACGGUACCUGCAGAAGAAGCGCCGGCUAACUACGUGCCAGCAGCCGCGGUAAUACGUAGGGCGCAAGCGUUAUCCGGAAUUAUUGGGCGUAAAGAGCUCGUAGGCGGUUUGUCGCGUCUGCUGUGAAAGACCGGGGCUCAACUCCGGUUCUGCAGUGGGUACGGGCAGACUAGAGUGCAGUAGGGGAGACUGGAAUUCCUGGUGUAGCGGUGAAAUGCGCAGAUAUCAGGAGGAACACCGAUGGCGAAGGCAGGUCUCUGGGCUGUAACUGACGCUGAGGAGCGAAAGCAUGGGGAGCGAACAGGAUUAGAUACCCUGGUAGUCCAUGCCGUAAACGUUGGGCACUAGGUGUGGGGGACAUUCCACGUUUUCCGCGCCGUAGCUAACGCAUUAAGUGCCCCGCCUGGGGAGUACGGCCGCAAGGCUAAAACUCAAAGGAAUUGACGGGGGCCCGCACAAGCGGCGGAGCAUGCGGAUUAAUUCGAUGCAACGCGAAGAACCUUACCAAGGCUUGACAUGAACCGGAAAGACCUGGAAACAGGUGCCCCGCUUGCGGUCGGUUUACAGGUGGUGCAUGGUUGUC